AUCCUACAGCUUACCUGUUGCUUAGAACACAACAUCAGGGGGAUCUGCAGUUGAUGCCAAGAGGAAUUUCUCAUCUCUGUUGACAUCUGUCUUGACUAAGAUGUGGGAGACACUCUGAAAAAGGCUUAAGUAUCUGCACCUGUCUGACCUUGGCUGAUCAUGAGAAGCUAAGCAGAUUCACCCUGGGUAGUACUUGGAUGGGAGGAAAUACCAGGAUACUGAUAAACCAGACAAGAGAGUUGAAAAAUCAUCCCAGUUGGCACCAGUGUGAAUCAUUUCCAUAUUGUCAAGAAAACUACAUGGAUGCGUUUGAGAAGUCACCAGGAGGCAAGCUCGACUUGAAGGAGAUUCUACCUUACAUAUUUUGACUAUAGCUUUUGCAGGCUUGCUUUCUGUGAUGCAUUCUUAUAAAUUACAAAUACUGUCCUCCAGGAGUUUGGGCAGGAGGAACCAGCUGAAACCAUGUAUCUUGGGCUUAAGGGAGCAGUUUAAAGCUUAAAAAUGAAUGAGGUCAGUGUUAAAAAUACAUAAUCUUAGCAACUUAAAUGCUUUUUGAGAAGGUUUGCCCUUCAGACUUAGUUGAGGUGGCAACUUGUAGUAUAGUGGCAAUUAAUUCUUAAUGGUAUUGUGUUAAACAAUUCCCCAAAGGCCAGUUACUCUUCUGUUCGCAGACAGGGACAUCCAAGAAUCCAGCCUCCCGCAUAGACAAAGCACCAUCUCUUAAAAUACCAGAUUGUGUAUCAACAAUUGACAGGCAUUGCAAGAACUCAUAAAAAAAUGCUCAGGGAUUUCAAAAUGAGGUCUUUCUACCCAUCAAAAAUCUUUUUCAAAUUAAUUGGUAGAAGCUAAUGCUUACCUUCUUGGACAUCCUUGCAUUAUCAAACAUAAGUAACAUUGUUUUAUUGCAUAUGCACACAAAUACAUAUUAUAAUCAGACUUUAUGUUUACAAACCUGUAAUUCUCACAGCAAAGCAAUCCAUGUACGAUGCAACAAAAGAUUUUCUUUUUCAGCUGGCUUGUCGCAGAGCCUGAUACUGGUUAUUGCUGAGACAGAAUGAUUGGUCCAAAGGAAUCCAGCUGGAAUCUGCUUCUAAGGGAAGACUAGAACCUGGAUCUCC